CACAAAUAUAUUUGACUUGGAGAAGUGCAUUCUAAUGUUCUAUUAAUGAAACCAAACACUUUUAAGAUCAUGUUGACCAUAAAUUUUGAUGGUGUUGCCUGUUAUAUUUUAUGUGUUACCAAUUAAAUAUUCUAACAUCCAAUUGAAGAAGUUGAAAAAGAUCACAAAAAACCAUAAAUAUAAUGCUGUUUCUCUUGAGAAGAUUAAAUUAAUGUUGUUUCCUUUCUCCUUUCUCCUUUCUCCUUGCAAGAAAAGGUAGUCAUGUGGUUAUCAUUUCUUGAACCAGGUAACAUCACGACUUAGGAGCUAUUAACCACCAAGUAUUUUGACAAAUACUUUCCCCUUUUAAAAUAUGUCAAUAUCAAAGCUAAAUUUUCAUAUUUUGCUUAGUAUGAGAAUUAAUUUAUGUAUCAAGUUUGAACAAUAUUUGAAGAUAAGUUUCACACAUAUUUGAUACAUGUCCAAAUUUUGUAUUAUUGUUUUCUUGUAAAAAAUAUAGUGUAGGUAUUGAUGAUAUGUGUGGAGUAUUUGUGGGAAACAAGAGAGUUUGUAAGUCCUCCACAAAAUAAUAGGGAAAUGUGUACUAAGAACAUCCUCAUGAGCAUAUGGCCAAAAGACCCCCACUAGAUGGUAUGUAAAGACCUCAACUAGUAUGUAGAAAGUGGAGGAUAAUAUUUCCCUGAAAUGUAAGUAGAUGAAAUAAAUGACAAGUUUGAAGUUUUAAUAUUAUGACACUCUAAAGAAAUAUUUAGUGUCUCUUCUAUUUGUGAUGAUUGUGCCCUUACAUGUGUGAUAGUUAGAGUUUCUAAAAAAUUUCAUUUCCCAACCAAAUCAGAAAGGUUAAUUUCAUAAGAGGAAUUUUUUCCAAUGCCUACUACGAAAUAUUCCUUAGUAAAGGUUAUGUAAAAAGUUGGUCUAAUUCUUUGUCUAGGGUCUUGUUAAACUACAUUACUAUGAUUGAUAACAUAUUGAAGUCCAAUUAAAGCUCAUGCACAUGCACCUACAAAAUUUGAGGAAAUGAAUAAUAUGAGAAUAUUUAACAAAAAAUCUUAUGAGGAGGUCAAAAGAGAAAUAAAAUAAAUGACAAAAAGAGAGGAAGUUAAACAUUUAUAACACGUUGGACUAGUUUAUGGUAAAUAUUGACGAAAGAUUUGAAGCUCUAACACAAAAUUUAGCAAAUCUUUGAAAGACAAAAAGAAUUUGAGGCCCAACAAAAAGUUGUUUGAAAAUAUUCUACUUUGUUUGAUUUAUUGACUAAAAAUGAGGCAUGCAAUGGUUUACCACUACAAGAUGUAAAAUGGUUGAAACACAUCAAUGGAGAGAAAGAAGUUCCAAUACUAAGAAUCCUAGUCUAACUAGUCAAACAAAAUAAAUAACUACUUGACUAAAAAUGAUAUGUAGAAAAAGAAAUAGAUAUUCAUUCUCCUUUUAUAAUUGUUCCAUUCCUCCAAAAAAAUUCAAAGAAACUCAAUAGGACUUGUGUUGUUGUAGUUUCAAACAUGUUGUAUCAACUCUAUAUCGAUGUCUUUGGAAUUAAUUUGUCGAAUGCCCAAACAUUAAAAUUUCUUGAAGGUAAUGAUAUUGAUUAAUUAUAUGAAACUUAAAUAAUUUGAAGUUGUAAAGCUGAAUGAGAAGUG
rnacentral:lncRNA from 1 species